rnacentral:rRNA from 1 species
AUUGAACGCUGGCGGCAGGCUUAACACAUGCAAGUCGAGCGGGGUGAUGGUGCUUGCACUAUCACUUAGCGGCGGACGGGUGAGUAAUGCUUAGGAAUCUGCCUAUUAGUGGGGGACAACAUCUCGAAAGGGAUGCUAAUACCGCAUACGUCCUACGGGAGAAAGCAGGGGAUCACUUGUGACCUUGCGCUAAUAGAUGAGCCUAAGUCGGAUGAACUAGUUGGUGGGGUAAAGGCCUACCAAGGCGACGAUCUGUAGCGGGUCUGAGAGGAUGAGCAGCCACACUGGGACUGAGACACGGCCCAGACUCCUACGGGAGGCAGCAGUAGGGAAUAUUGGACAAUGGGGGGAACCCUGAUCCAGCCAUGCCGCGUGUGUGAAGAAGGCCUUAUGGUUGUAAAGCACUUUAAGCGAGGAGGAGGCUACUCUAGUUAAUACCUAGAGAUAGUGGACGUUACUCGCAGAAUAAGCACCGGCUAACUCUGUGCCAGCAGCCGCCGCCG